AUUGAACGCUGGCGGCAUGCCUUACACAUGCAAGUCGAACGGCAGCACGGGUGCUUGCACCUGGUGGCGAGUGGCGAACGGGUGAGUAAUACAUCGGUACAUGUCCUGUAGUGGGGGAUAGACCGGCGAAAGCCGGAUUAAUACCGCAUACGAUCUACGGAUGAAAGGGGGGGACCUUCGGGCCUCGCGCUGUAGGGUUGGCCGAUGGCUGAUUAGCUAGUUGGGGGGGUAAAGACCUACCAAGGCGACGAUCAGUAGAGGGUGUGAGAGGACGACAAGCGACAUGGGGAGGGGGCCACGGCCAAGACGCCUACGGGAGGGAGCAGUCGGGAACUGUGGACAACGGUCGAAAGUCUGAUACAGUAAGGCCGCGUGUGUGACGACGGCGCUGGGUUUGUAAAGACCGCUUUCCCGGAAAGAAAUGCUUGGGCCUAAUACGGUCGUGGGAUGACGGUAACGGAUGAAUAAGCACCGGCUAACUACGUG
rnacentral:rRNA from 1 species